UACGUAGGACCCGAGCGUUGUCCGGAUUUACUGGGUGUAAAGGGUGCGUAGGCGGACAGGUGCGUCAGAGGUGAAAUUUCCCGGCUUAACUGGGAGGAUGCCUUUGAUACGGCUUGUCUUGAGUGCGAAAGAGGAUGAUGGAAUUCCUGGUGUAGCGGUGAAAUGCGUAGAUAUCAGGAGGAACACCAGUGGCGAAGGCGGUCAUCUGGUUCGCAACUGACGCUGAGGCACGAAAGCGUGGGGAUCAAACAGG
rnacentral:rRNA from 1 species